GAGAAGGUUGCCUAACCUGUCAAACCAUUAUGAUAUCACUGAAUUUGACAUAAUGGUUUGACAGGUUAGGCAACCUUCUCU
rnacentral:pre_miRNA from 1 species